rnacentral:lncRNA from 1 species
GGCUGGGUUGUCUAAGUAGGGAUUCACUAAAUUCCACUAAUCCCACCACAAGAGUACUGGGGUCAACAUCAUCCAGUCUCUCCAUUGCUGGAUUGCUGCCCAUAUUGGGGAUUGCACUACUAGGUUUAACAGUGGCACCUAGCAUGUAGAAAAACAUUAAUAAUAAACUAAAGAUACUACUUUAUGCAGGUAGGAAUUUUCUGCUUUGCUGAUAUAAAUUGACCAUGUGCCCUUAAACUUAAGCAGAAUUAGAACUGGCUGAGCUAACUAGAAGAGAUGGGGGAAAAUCUUAAGAUACACCCUCUAUACAAUCUGGCCACAACAUUAUGUUUUUGUCAAAUUAACUGAGUCACUACUUACUUCCAGCAAAAGCCACAUGGAGGCAAAGGACCAAGAAAGAAUUAAGGGAGACAAGGAGACUGUGACUUGACCUAAACGUAUAACAAAUCAUCCAUGUAUCCAUUUUGCAACUUGAUAUUCCCUAAAAGGUUUCCAUUUUCACAAACUUCAGAUAGAUGUAAACAACAGAACUGCACAUAAGCUUGUUUCCUACUGAGAUAUCUACAGCCCAUAUCUCAAGUAAUCUGAUAAAAAAAAGGAAUAAUAAAAGGUUCACUUCACCUGUUUUUUUGUAGAAAAAGUGUGUGAAUGUAAAUUAAGACAAAAUUCUUUUCAAUGAUAACCUCCUA